UACAGAGGGUGCAAGCGUUAAUCGGAAUUACUGGGCGUAAAGCGUGCGUAGACGGUCAUGUAAGUCGGGUGUGAAAGCCCCGGGCUCAACCUGGGAAUUGCAUUCGAGACUGCAUGGCUAGGGUGCGGAAGAGGGAAGCGGAAUUUCCGGUGUAGCGGUGAAAUGCGUAGAUAUCGGAAGGAACACCUGCGGCGAAGGCGGGUAGCUGGGCCGACACUGACGCUGAGGCGCGAAAGCCAGGGGAGCGAACGGG
rnacentral:rRNA from 1 species